rnacentral:rRNA from 1 species
UACGAAGGGGGCUAGCGUUGUUCGGAAUUACUGGGCGUAAAGCGUGCGCAGGCGGUUUCCCAAGUCAGUGGUGAAAGCCCGGAGCUCAACUCCGGAAUUGCCAUUGAAACUGUGAGACUUGAGGACGAGAGAGGUGAGUGGAAUUCCCAGUGUAGAGGUGUAAUUCGUAGAUAUUGGGAAGAACACCGGUGGCGAAGGCGGCUCACUGGCUCGUUUCUGACGCUCAUGCACGACAGCGUGGGGAU